GGAUUGUGGCUCAGCGGUAGAGCACUCACCUAGCACGGGCUAGACCCGGGUUCGAUCCUCAGCACCA
rnacentral:tRNA from 1 species